rnacentral:rRNA from 1 species
CCUGAGAAACCCAAAAGUUCGAAUGAGGAGAUUCAUCGUCAGCACAACUGGUAUAUGUGCAAGUUAUGAUACGAAAUGUUAUUCUUGUGAUAACGAUUGUACGUGCUUGUAUUAUUUUUGCUGGAUGUUGUCGGCGUGCACUUCUCCUCUAGUAGGACGUCGCGACCCGUUGGUGUGUCGUUCUAUGACCCGGAUGGCAGUCUUUAUUUUCUUAUUGAUUUAAAGACCACCGGUGAUCUGAUCGGCUACCCGGCGGUAAUCGUACGGUAUUGAGUCGCAAUAAUAUAUUUAUUUGCGUUGGGCCCGUUGCAAGCGCGGCUAGUAUCUCGGUAGUGCGGAUUUAAUGCCGUCACUGAGACUGGCCAGCUGUUGGUUAACGGUGUUCUCUGACUGACUCAUUAUUUACCGGUCAGCGACGCUAUUGCUUUGGGUACUUUCAGGACCCGUCUUGAAACACGGACCAAGGAGUCUAACAUGUGCGCGAGUCAUUGGGAUUUAUUUUUUUGAAUUAAACCUAAAGGCGCAAUGAAAGUAAAGGUUAUCCUCGCGAUGACUGAGGGAGGAUGAGCUUGACAUUAUUUUAUGUCAGCUCCGCACUCCCGGGGCGUCUCAUCCUUAUUUAUAAGGGGAGGCGCACCCAG